UAUUUCUAUCAACGACUGUCUGGUUUCAGG
rnacentral:piRNA from 1 species